AGGUCCCGCCUGCCCAGUGAUCUUAUUUUUAACGGCCGCGGUAUCCUAACCGUGCAAAGGUAGCGUAAUCAUUUGUCUCCUAAAUAGAGACUUGUAUGAACGGCUAACUGAGGGCCUAACUGUCUCCUAGAGCUAAUCAAUGAAACUGAUCUUCCAGUACAAAAGCUGGAAUAAGCACAUAAGACGAGAAGACCCUGUGGAGCUUAAAACCAAUACUAUAAAAAUAUCUCCUACUAAGGAAUGCACAUUACACCCACUAUAAAUCAUAGUAAAAGUUUUUAGUUGGGGCGACUUUGGAACAAAACAAAACUUCCAUGCCAGGGACUAUAUCCCUAUUAAGGCUAACAUGCCAAAAUAUAAUUUUUUUUGACCCAGCAUGCCUGAUCAACGAACCAAGUUACCCCAGGGAUAACAGCGCCAUCCUCUUCAAGAGUCCCUAUCGACAAGAGGGUUUACGACCUCGAUGUUGGAUCAGGACACCCCGGUGGUGCAACCGCUACCAAAGGUUCGUUUGUUCAACGAUUAACAGUCCUACGUGAUCUGAGUCA
rnacentral:rRNA from 1 species